UACGUAGGGGGCAAGCGUUGUCCGGAUUUAUUGGGCGUAAAGAGCGUGUAGGCGGCCAGGUAGGUCUGGUGUGAAAACUCGAGGCUCAACCUCGAGAGGUCAUCGGAAACCAUCUGGCGUAGAGUCCGGAAGAGGAGAGUCGGAAUUCCCGGUGUAGCGGUGAAAUGCGCAGAUAUCAGGAAGAACACCAUGGCGAAGGCAG
rnacentral:rRNA from 1 species